UACGGAGGGGGCUAGCGUUGUUCGGAAUUACUGGGCGUAAAGCGCGCGUAGGCGGCUUUGUAAGUUAGAGGUGAAAGCCCGGAGCUUAACUCCGGAACUGCCUUUAAGACUGCAUCGCUAGAAUUGUGGAGAGGUGAGUGGAAUUCCGAGUGUAGAGGUGAAAUUCGUAGAUAUUCGGAAGAACACCAGUGGCGAAGGCGACUCACUGGACACAUAUUGACGCUGAGGUGCGAAAGCGUGUGGAGCAAACAGG
rnacentral:rRNA from 1 species